GAUGAACGCUGGCGGCGUGCUUGAUACAUGCAAGUCGAACGGAGAGUGUAGCAAUAUACUUUUAGUGGCGAACGGGUGAGUAACGCGUUGGUGACCUGCCCCGAAGCGAGGGAUAACAGUUCGAAAGAACUGCUAAUACCUCAUGUGAUCACCGGUUUUAGAAUCUGGUGAUUAAAGGUGAAAAUCACUUCGGGAGGGGCCUGCGUCCCAUCAGCUAGUUGGUAAGGUAAUGGCUUACCAAGGCGAUGACGGGUAGGGGACCUGAGAGGGUGGCCCCCCACAAUGGAACUGAAACACGGUCCAUACACCUACGGGUGGCAGCAGUAGGGAAUAUUAGAAAUGGACGAAAGUCUGAUCUAGCAACACCGCGUGUGCGAAGAAGGCCUUCGGGUUGUAAAGCACUUUUGGAAGGAUUAGGAAGGAAUGUACUUCCAGAAUAAGUCUCGGCUAACUACGUG
rnacentral:rRNA from 1 species